ACAGAAAAAUCUUAAAUUUGAAUUUUUUGGGUCCAGGAGAGUUUUGGUAAUGGUCUUGUUUAAUCCAGAACAUUUUAAACAGAAAUUUCGCUGACAUUCCCCAAAACAACGAAGCUUAUUAUAUUUGUCAUUUUCGGGGAAUUCAUGUAAACAAUUCUCACAAUUGUAGUAUGCCAUGGUUAUGGUCAAGGUCAAUUUGCAAUAUUUAACUGGGUCGUUGAUAAACAAAACAUAAAAAAUAAUUAAACAAAGCUGGUGCAAAACUUACAGUUUCGUUCACUCCAAUAACAAUAACAAAAUAACAAUAACACACUCGAGUAUGUCGACCGCUGAACAGAACAAAAACAAAACGUGUUAACACACCGACGAUUCAAAUACGAAUGAUUAUCUGAUUUAAAAUGAUGUUAAAAAUAUUUCCAUAUUAACCCCUGGCAUCACAUGACAUCAACUAUCCUGUUAAUCUGGAAAUAUUUUUAACAUCCUUUUAAAUCAGAUAAUAUAAUGUAACCCCAACUGUUUAAUAUCAAUUUAAGGGGGUCGUCUAGUGUCUCGGGUGAAAAAAAUCGAUUUAUUUUUUUUUGCACAAAUAUUAUCUAAAAUAUGUGUAGAAGACGUGGGUAAAAGGAUUUUUCGAUAUUGAAAGUGGUUUAAAAGUUACAACCGUAUAUCGGAGCAGGUAUACGGAUAGCACGGGAGCCCGCUCGGCGGGGCGUGUCAGCGCUGUCACGUGACAGUUCUCGCAUCGACCGUUCAGAGAGACACUUGAGCGAUUUCGCAAAAGAAGCCCGGGUUUUAAAGAGAGAACAUAAAACGGCUUUGCAGAACUUUUUUGAAGAAGACGGUGAACUGUAUCGUCCAGGUAUAGCAGAUUUAUGAUAAGCAGAACAGCCGAAAUCAUGGCAGCAGUUGAGAAACUUUUUUUUUAUGUGUCCCUGUUGGCUGAUGUAAUUAAAAAAAACACUAAGUAUAUCGACUUUAAAAAAUUCAUAAAGUUUGUUAAAAUGUUAAUAAAUAUGAUAUAAAAAUUA